rnacentral:rRNA from 1 species
UACGUAGGGUGCAAGCGUUGUCCGGAAUUAUUGGGCGUAAAGAGCUCGUAGGCGGUUUGUCGCGUCUGCUGUGAAAUCCCAGGGCUUAACCCUGGGCCUGCAGUGGGUACGGGCAGACUAGAGUGCGGUAGGGGAGAUUGGAAUUCCUGGUGUAGCGGUGGAAUGCGCAGAUAUCAGGAGGAACACCGAUGGCGAAGGCAGAUCUCUGGGCCGUAACUGACGCUGAGGAGCGAAAGCAUGGGGAGCGAACAGG